UUCAAAACAAACAAAUUUUUCAAAUUUUUUUGGCUCAAGGGGGUAGCAAAGGAUCACACAAGUCACAUGGUAGGUUAUAUUUGGCCAAAGUAGUUAUCCCUCAAAAAGAAACAAGGCCUUGAUCAUAUCCAUGACAUCAAACACAUCAAGUAAUAGCAAGAUUCAGUUAAAAUCAACAGAGUUAAACACAAUUGUCGGCUCUCAAAUAUAUAAACAAUGGAAGGUUCACACAAUCUCACCCGGCUAGGUCUAAAUGAUUCAUAAUCAAUUAAUCAUGUUAAGAAGGAACGAAUGAAAUCAAAUUGAAUAAAGCUACUUAGUUCAAAUUCAUCCUAUCAUUCAAAGAUAAUCACAAAGAUUUCACCUCAAGCAAUGCAAUUUGAAAAAUUCAUUCUAAUCAUGCAUUUGAAUUUGAUUAAUCACAAACCUAGACAUUUCAAUUCAUAUGCACAUUUAGCAAUCACAAAAGUUUAAACCAUGUAUGUUUACAAAAAUUUCAGUCAACAUUUGCAAU
rnacentral:lncRNA from 1 species